rnacentral:rRNA from 1 species
UACGUAGGGUGCAAGCGUUGUCCGGAAUUAUUGGGCGUAAAGAGCUCGUAGGCGGUCUGUCGCGUCGGCUGUGAAAUCCCGAGGCUCAACCUCGGGUCUGCAGUCGAUACGGGCAAACUAGAGUAUUGCAGGGGAGACUGGAAUUCCUGGUGUAGCGGUGAAAUGCGCAGAUAUCAGGAAGAACACCCGUGGCGAAAGCGGCUCUCUGGAACGGUACUGACGCUGAGACGCGAAAGCGUGGGGAGCAAACAGG